rnacentral:misc_RNA from 1 species
UGAUCAUAGAACUAGUUCCAGUGUAAAAAAGAGGGUUAGAGGGGGUGCACUUUCGGAGGGAUCACGGUGCAGUCGGGUCAAUGGGAGAGGAUGGAGGUGUUGCCAACAAACUCUUGUGGGCUACUCUCUCUGUGAGCAUCACCUGGGCAAAGGAAGGCUGAGAAGCAUGACCAGCGUUAGAAGCAGAUCCAUGGCUAAAACUGCGACAAG